GACGAACGCUGGCGGCGUGCUUAACACAUGCAAGUCGAACGGAAAGGCCCCUUUGGGGGUACUCGAGUGGCGCACGGGUGAGUAACACGUGAGUAACCUGCCCUUGACUUCGGGAUAACUUCAGGAAACUGGGGCUAAUACCGGAUAGGAAUCCUUGCUGCAUGGUGGGAGUUGGAAAGCUUCGGCGGUUUUGGAUGGACUCGCGGCUUAUCAGCUUGUUGGUGGGGUAGUGGCUUACCAAGGCUUUGACGGGUAGCCGGCCUGAGAGGGCGACCGGCCACAUUGGGACUGAGAUACGGCCCAGACGCCUACGGGAGGGAGCAGGGGGGAAUAUUGCACAAUGGGCGGAAGCCGGAUGCAGCAACGCCGCGGGCGGGAUGACGGCCUUCGGGUUGUAAACCGCUUUCAGCAGGGGCGAAGCUUGUGGUGACGGUACCUGCAGAAGAAGCACCGGCUAACUACGUG
rnacentral:rRNA from 1 species